rnacentral:rRNA from 1 species
AUUGAACGCUGGCGGCAGGCCUAACACAUGCAAGUCGAGCGAGCGGCGGACGGGUGAGUAAUGUAUGUGGAUUUGCCCGUUAGAGGGGGAUAACUACUGGAAACGGUGGCUAAUACCGCAUACUAUCGGCUGAUCCCAUAUGGGAUUAGCUAGUAGGUGGGGUAAAGGCUCACCUAGGCGACUAUCUCUAGCGGGUCUGAGAGGAUGAUCAGCACAACUGGGACUGAGACACGGCCCAGACUCCUACGGGAGGCAGCAGUGGGGAAUAGUGCACAAUGGGCGCAAGCCUUAUACAGCCAUGCCGCGUGUAUGAAGAAGGCCUUAGGGUUGUAAAGUACUUUCAGCGGGGAGGCGUUACCCGCAGAAGAAGCACCGGCUAACUCCGUGCCAGCCGCCGCGGUAAUAC